rnacentral:rRNA from 1 species
AACGAACGCUGGCGGCAGGCUUAACACAUGCAAGUCGAACGCAUCCUUCGGGGUGAGUGGCAGACGGGUGAGUAACGCGUGGGAACGUGCCCUUCAGUUCGGGAUAACCCAGGGAAACUUUGGCUAAUACCGGAUACGUGCGAGAGCAGAAAGAUUUAUCGCUGACGGAUCGGCCCGCGUCUGAUUAGCUAGUUGGUGGGGUAAUGGCCCAGCAAGGCGAACAUCAGUAGCUGGUAUGAGAGGCUGAUCAGCCACAUUGGGACUGAGACACGGCCCAAACCCCUACGUGAGGCCGCAGUGGGGAAUAUUGGACAAUGGGCGCAAUCCUGAUCCAGCCAUGCCGCGUGAGUGAUGAAGGCCUUAGGGUUGUAAAGCUCUUUCGUCCGGGACGAUAAUGACGGUACCGGAAGAAGAAGCCCCGGCUAACUUCGUGCCAGCCGCCGCGGUAA